UGAUCUGCCCACCUCGGCCUCCUAGAGUGCUGGGAUUACAGGCGUGAGCCACCGCAGGUGGCCGGUUGAUGAUCUUAAUAGAGUGAUGCCAAGGAAAUCCGAGGAGAUGCAGCUCGAUCUGUCACAUCUUCUGUCUUUGUUAAGGCAGCUCUGAUAAAAGGAAGGGCUCACAGAUAAUCUGUAUUUCCCAGCUCUUUUACAAUGGGGCCUUAUGACUGAGCUCUGGCCAAUGGAAUGUAGGUGGG